AUUAAAACUACUAGAAGGCACAAUAGUCAAUGUUCCAGAAAAGAAUUCCCGAAAGCUCCGUGGAGAAACAGUUCAAGUUGAUACAACAAACAUCCUGUUUGUGGCAUCUGGUGCUUUCAAUGGUUUAGACAGAAUCAUCAGCAGGAGGAAAAAUGAAAAGUAUCUUGGAUUUGGAACACCAUCUAAUCUGGGAAAAGGCAGAAGGGCUGCAGCUGCUGCAGACCUUGCUAAUCGAAGUGGGGAAUCAAAUACUCACCAAGACAUUGAAGAAAAAGAUCGGUUAUUGCGUCAUGUGGAAGCCAGAGAUCUGAUUGAGUUUGGCAUGAUUCCUGAGUUUGUGGGACGGUUGCCUGUGGUGGUUCCAUUGCAUAGCCUAGAUGAGAAAACACUUGUACAAAUAUUAACUGAGCCACGAAAUGCUGUUAUUCCUCAGUACCAGGCCUUAUUCAGCAUGGAUAAGGUUAGAUUUUUAUUUUUUAUACUUAGUUAUUUUUUAUUUUCUUGCUAUUGAAAUUCUACAUAAAUUAACCUAACAACAAAAACAAAUUCUGCUCAUCUAGAAU
rnacentral:sRNA from 1 species